rnacentral:rRNA from 1 species
AGUGAACGCUGGCGGUAGGCCUAACACAUGCAAGUCGAACGGCAGCACAGUAAGAGCCUGCUCUUACGGGUGGCGAGUGGCGGACGGGUGAGGAAUACAUCGGAAUCUACUUUUUCGUGGGGGAUAACGUAGGGAAACUUACGCUAAUACCGCAUACGACCUACGGGUGAAAGCAGGGGAUCUUCGGACCUUGCGCGAUUGAAUGAGCCGAUGUCGGAUUAGCUAGUUGGCGGGGUAAAGGCCCACCAAGGCGACGAUCCGUAGCUGGUCUGAGAGGAUGAUCAGCCACACUGGAACUGAGACACGGUCCAGACUCCUACGGGAGGCAGCAGUGGGGAAUAUUGGACAAUGGGCGCAAGCCUGAUCCAGCCAUACCGCGUGGGUGAAGAAGGCCUUCGGGUUGUAAAGCCCUUUUGUUGGGAAAGAAAAGCGGCAGGUUAAUACCCCGCUGUUCUGACGGUACCCAAAGAAUAAGCACCGGCUAACUUCGUG